rnacentral:rRNA from 1 species
UACGAAGGGGGCUAGCGUUGCUCGGAAUUACUGGGCGUAAAGGGCGCGUAGGCGGUUAGUUUAGUCAGAGGUAAAAGCCCAGGGCUCAACCUUGGAACUGCCUUUGAUACUGGCUAUCUUGAGUUCGGGAGAGGUGAGUGGAAUGCCGAGUGUAGAGGUGAAAUUCGUAGAUAUUCGGCGGAACACCAGUGGCGAAGGCGACUCACUGGCCCGAUACUGACGCUGAGGCGCGAAAGCGUGGGGAGCAAACAGG